rnacentral:rRNA from 1 species
GCUUGUCUCAAAGAUUAAGCCAUGCAUGUCUAAGUAUAACCAAGUUUGUACUGGGAAACUGCGAAUGGCUCAUUAAAUCAGUUAUAGUUUAUUUGAUGGUCCCUUGCUACAUGGAUAACUGUGGUAAUUCUAGAGCUAAUACAUGCAAUCAAGCCCCGACUUCUGGGAGGGGUGUAUUUAUUAGAUAAAAAACCAACGCGGCUUGCCGCUCGUUUGGUGAUUCAUAAUAACUUCUCGAAUCGCAUGGCCUUGUGCCGGCGAUGCUUCAUUCAAAUAUCUGCCCUAUCAACUUUCGAUGGUAGGAUAGUGGCCUACCAUGGUUUCAACGGGUAACGGGGAAUAAGGGUUCGAUUCCGGAGAGGGAGCCUGAGAAACGGCUACCACAUCCAAGGAAGGCAGCAGG